rnacentral:miRNA from 1 species
CCAGCACAGGCAGCUCGGACUGA